rnacentral:rRNA from 1 species
GACGAACGCUGGCGGCGUGCUUAACACAUGCAAGUCGAACGGAAAGGCCCUGCUUUUGUGGGGUGCUCGAGUGGCGAACGGGUGAGUAACACGUGAGUAACCUGCCCUUGACUUUGGGAUAACUUCAGGAAACUGGGGCUAAUACCGGAUAGGAGCUCCUGCUGCAUGGUGGGGGUUGGAAAGUUUCGGCGGUUGGGGAUGGACUCGCGGCUUAUCAGCUUGUUGGUGGGGUAGUGGCUUACCAAGGCUUUGACGGGUAGCCGGCCUGAGAGGGUGACCGGCGAGGGUGAGACGGAGAACAGGCCGACGGGCGGAGGGGGGGCGGCGGGGUGGAAGAGGGGGCCAGGGGCGGGAGUCUGGGGCGGCGAGGCGGCGGGCGGCAGGGGGGGCUGCGGUUUGUCGACAGCUGUCGCCGGGGGUGACGGGUGGGUGGAGGAAAUGAGUAAGACAGAGCCGAGAAACUCCGUGCCAGAGGCCGGGGUAAGAGCGGGAAGAGCAGACGUGGGAGU